rnacentral:rRNA from 1 species
ACGUUAGCGGCGGACGGGUGAGUAACACGUGGGUAACCUACCUAUAAGACUGGGAUAACUCCGGGAAACCGGGGCUAAUACCGGAUAAUACAUGAAACCGCAUGGUUUCAUGAUGAAAGACGGUUUUGCUGUCACUUAUAGAUGGACCCGCGGCGUAUUAGCUAGUUGGUAAGGUAACGGCUUACCAAGGCAACGAUACGUAGCCGACCUGAGAGGGUGAUCGGCCACACUGGAACUGAGACACGGUCCAGACUCCUACGGGAGGCAGCAGCG